rnacentral:rRNA from 1 species
AUUGAACGCUGGCGGCAGGCCUAACACAUGCAAGUCGAGCGGCAGCGGGAAAGUAGCUUGCUACUUUUGCCGGCGAGCGGCGGACGGGUGAGUAAUGCCUGGGAAAUUGCCCAGUCGAGGGGGAUAACAGUUGGAAACGACUGCUAAUACCGCAUACGCCUUACGGGGGAACGCAGGGGACCUUCGGGCCUUGCGCGCUAGGAUAUGCCGAGGUGGGAUUAGCUAGUUGGUGAGGUAAUGGCUCACCAAGGCGACGAUCCCUAUCUGGUCUGAGAGGAUGAUCAGCCACACUGGAACUGAGACACGGUCCAGACUCCUACGGGAGGCAGCAGUGGGGAAUAUUGCACAAUGGGGGAAACCCUGAUGCAGCCAUGCCGCGUGUGUGAAGAAGGCCUUCGGGUUGUAAAGCACUUUCAGCGAGGAGGAAAGGUUGAUGCCUAAUACGUAUCAACUGUGACGUUACUCGCAGAAGAAGCACCGGCUAACUCCGUGCCAGCCGCCGCUGUAACAC